GAGGUAACAAAUACCCGUAUAAUUAAACAGGACGCCCAAAACAGGCAAAGUUCCUUUCUCUAUACUUCAAAUGGUUGAGAAGUAAUCUCUCUUCACAAAACCAACACACUCUCUCUCUCUCUCUCUCUCUCAGAGACAAACACAGAAACAUCUUGACCGCCAUAGCUAUCUCUCUCUCUCUCUCUCUCAAUAUAUUUCUACCCAUUUGGCCAUUUUGCCCACAUUUGCUUCCUGUUCCCUCCUCUCUCUCUUUCUCACUCAUUUCUCUCUCGAAAUUGCACAGUUCGUUUCAAAACCUUAAUCCAGUUACUGGGUUUUGCUUAAUUAACACCACUACUCUUUGUUUGAGCUCAGAAUUUUGAGAAAUUAGAUCAGAAUUGAGCUCUGUUUUGGUUCAAUUUGCCGCCCAAUUUCCCAGCAACCCAUGGACCCAACCGGAGCAACCGUACCCGGAUCCAUUUUACCAGGACCCGAGUUCGAGUCCCUCCAAUUCCGAGAAGAAAUCCACCGACUCAUGGCCGUGCCACCGGAGAACGCCAGCUCCUUCACGGCGCUUCUAGAACUUCCGCCGACCCAAGCCAUGGAGCUCCUCCACCUCUCGCCGGAGGCCAACUCUACUCCGACUCCGGCCGCCAUGUCCGGCGAGGCGCGCGUCCAACACCCUUUCAAUUCCAGCCUCACCUUCCCUACAAACCCCGCCUUAAUCGAACGCGCCGCCAAGUUCUCGAUCUUUGCCGGAGAGGGCUCGCCGGAGACAAGCUCCAUGCCGUCCAACUCCGGCGCGGAUUUGGAGAAGGUGAAGACCGAGCCGGUCGAGACCGAUUCGAACCCGAACUCAUCCCAGCUAACGCUUGACGCGACCAAGAACAACCAGAGGUCCUCGGCGAAGAGAAAGGAGCGAGAGAAGAAGGUUAAGCUCUCGACGAAGAAGAGCAAGAGCGAAAUCAAAGAAGACGCCGACAAGGUUCCCUAUGUUCAUGUUCGUGCUCGGCGUGGUCAAGCCACAGACAACCAUAGCUUAGCAGAGCGAGCGAGGAGAGAGAAGAUUAAUGCGAGGAUGAAGCUGCUGCAGGAGCUGGUCCCAGGAUGCAAUAAGAUUUCAGGCACCGCACUGGUUCUGGAUGAAAUCAUCAAUCACGUGCAGUCCCUACAACGUCAAGUUGAGUUCUUAUCAAUGAGACUUGCGGCAGUCAACCCAAGAAUUGAUUUCAACCUUGAUAGUAUAUUGGCUGCUGAAUGGUUCAGUAUUAUUUUCGGUGGUGUGGAUGCAUACCUGGCUGCUUAGGGGCCUGUUGCCAUCAUUUGCAAGUUAUGCAAAAAUAUUAGACUUGUUAGUCGCUUCAUGGUUUGACCAUUAAUUAUAUACUUAACAAUGGCAGUGUAGAUUAGCUAACAGUUUUAUGCUGUUUUUGGGUUUGCGUCAUUAAAUACUGCUAGCCAAAUAUUAAAUGACGCUAUUCAGCGAUCAAAUGUCAGGCCAGUGGAUGAGCUUUGGAGGCCCCUGUUUCUGUCUACUACCUGGCUACUUUUAUUUAUUUAUUUGGAAUGGUUUUUAGAUUAUGAUAGAUAAUUGUCAGUUACCAUCAGUAACCAGGCAAUCUAUAGGUUGUUUACAUUUAGUGGGACCACUGCAAUUGGGGGUCCAUGAAUGAGUUUUUUUUUCUUCUUCUUUUUCUCUUUGUUUGAAGUAGAAUUGUGGUAAUUGAUAGGCUUCACUACUUCAUGGAGCAAGUUCUACCCUUAAGUUAGUGUCAUAUUGAUUGCAUAUUACUGAUAUAUUUGGCUAUCCUCCACAACUUUCAGAGUGGAUCUCUAAUGGAAGCUAACUUCGCCAAUAUGGUUACACCUCUGAUGUGGCCAGAAGUCCCAAUCAAUGGAAACAGACAACCGUAUCAUCAGCAAUGGCACUUUGAUACUAAUCAGCCUGGUUGGGGGAGGGAAGAAGAAACUCAUACUUUCAUUACUCCAGAGACCUCCCUUAUCAGUUGCGACUCUUCAGCAAAUUCAGCAACUCUGCAGAGAAGUCAUUUGAAGAUGGAGAUGUGAAGACGACGUAAUUAAGUUCUACUGGUAGAAGUGUAUAUAUCAAGUAUAGUAUUUUAGCAGUUAGCAGGAAGUAGAGGAAAUGCCUUGGUAUUCAUGGCGCGUUUCUUUGGUCUCUAUUUUUCAUGGUCAGUUAUGAAUCCUGAUUUCCCUCUGUCUAGAGAGGGAGGGAAAUAGGUUUGGUAUGUUAUCCUUAUGAAAUAUAUUUAUAUAUAUAUAUAUACUAACUUUGAGGGUCAUUCAAUCUAAUACUUAUUUUUUGAACUCUUUGAUUGGUUCCUAUUGUAAAAUCAUUGAAUGAACCAUUACUUAACAACUGUUAUUGGAAGACUUCUUUGU